UGCACUGGUAGCUCAGCGCCAGAGCGCCGGCCUUGUAAGCCGGCGGCCGGAGGUUAAAAUCCCCCCCAUUGCUC
rnacentral:tRNA from 2 species